rnacentral:rRNA from 1 species
UACAGAGGGUGCAAGCGUUAAUCGGAAUUACUGGGCGUAAAGCGUGCUUAGGCGGUCAUGUAAGUCGGGUGUGAAAGCCCCGGGCUCAACCUGGGAAUUGCAUUCGAGACUGCAUGGCUAGGGUGCGGAAGAGGGAAGCGGAAUUUCCGGUGUAGCGGUGAAAUGCGUAGACAUCGGAAGGAACACCAGUGGCGAAAGCGGCUUCCUGGUCCAGCACCGACGUUCAGGCACGAAAGCGUGGGGAGCAAACAGG